GUCUACGGCCAUGUCACCCUGAACAAGCCCGAUGUCUGAUUUUGGAAGUUAAGCAGGGUUGGGCCUGGUUAGUACUUGGAUGGGCGACCACCCAGGAAGACCAGGUGCUGCUGUAG
rnacentral:rRNA from 1 species